ACUCUUCUCUCUCCUUCCCUCCAAGAACUUCUUCCCUAACUCUGUCUCUUUGCCGCACCUCUCUUUCUCCUGCCUCCACGGCAGCUCUCUGGCCUUUAGAGGCUGCAUUCACUGCUCAUAAAUUUAAGACCAGACAAAGCUGCUCUUUUGAUGGACCUAGAAGGUGGCAUUCCUGCUUUCAUCCCCAGCCGCUGACACUACCCAACCUCAAAGGCAAAGAGCUUGGCCUCCUGACACUUGCCUGUCUUCAUGUUUUAGGAAGAAGAGAGCAGAAUUGGAGCAUGGGGGGUUAGGACCAGAAACCACAGCUGCGACCAGCUGCAGCCAGCUUGCGUCUGGGCAAAAACAUGGACCUAGGCUUCCUCCCUGUGGGGUUGGCCAUGCAGGACCUGGGAGAAGAGGGUGACCUGGUUAUCUUCCCCAGCUGGGAUAAAUUCCUAUCAGAAGGGGCAGAGCGGUGGAGGUAUGGUAUCCAGGAAGAGAAUAGAGGGGCCUCUUGCCAAACACCCACUGCAUCAGGUGUAAUAUGGGUGUGAAUGCCUGCAGUUCUCAGGAGCCAGGAGAUGCAGAGACAGAGCCCCACCCAGCAGCUGGCACUGUGCAGCUAGGCAGACUUGCUGCCUUGUGAGCAAGCUGGCCAUGGCAGUUUCUGCAGGCCUUCUCAGUGAAGACAGCCACAUCCAGGCCACAACCUGUGCAUUCGCAGAGGUGAAUUCUAACCAGACAAGAAGACAUCCCACAGCUCUUUUUGCUGGCAGCACUUGAGAAACUUCCAAACCCCUCUCCAAGCCAAAUGAGACCUGGGAUCCCUGCGUUUCAGGUGUGCUGAGGAGGAGGAAGCAGGUGCAUCCUCCAGGGCUUGGGUGUGAUUUAUCAUUGUCAUCAGCUUGCAUUCAUAUUCCUUUUCAAUUCUGCAGCACCUUCUGCAAUGCUGCUUCCUGCUAGGCUGGUCACCACUCUUUUCCCCCAAUCAACAGACUCACUUCUUAUUCCAAGUCUGCAUGUCUCUGCUCAUUCCUCUGCUUGGAAACGCCCUGCCCCAGUGCUGCUCCAAGGCCUCUUCUGAGUUUCAGCUAAGGCUGAGCAACAUCCUCUGACCUCUGGAGCUACAUAGGGCCCUUACCUGUCUCAGAGUUCCCAAAGCAGGUGCAUCUGCAUCCUUCACCAGGGUCCCUUACUAAAAUCUGCUUUGAGCUUACUACUUAACUAGUUCCUCUGAAUGCCUUGUCCGCUCAACCUGAUGGCAAGCUCUUGGAGGGAAAGGCAGAAUGUGACAUUUCUUUCCUGUCCUUCUCAAGCCCGAGCCUGCACUGACCCAGGAGGAAGCACUCAAUGGAUGAUUAGAGAAUGGGUGAAAGAAUGGAGAGCCAGCACCAAGGAUGUUCAUUUGUCCAGAGAAUUAGCAUGGCUGCAAGCCUUGUGGGGAAGCAAUUAAACAGACAGGGGUCCUGCCCUUCAGGGAUUUAUAAACUAACAGAGACAAGGUGACUCUGAUAGAGAAUGUAGAAGCAUUCAGAGGAAUGAGCAGGUGCUAGAUAAACAGUUAAGUGUUUGCUUUAUGUGCAAGCAAAGGGGCAAGCAUAUGUGGGGUGCUGGAAGAAUAAAAAGGGAAUCUCAAAUGUGAGCUCAUUCGUUUAGUCAUUCAACAAAGGCUUCUAAGU